rnacentral:rRNA from 1 species
GAUGGACGCUAGCGGCAGGCUUAAUACAUGCAAGUCGAGGGGCAGCAUGAAUGUAGCAAUACAUUUGAUGGCGACCGGCAAACGGGUGCGGAACACGUACACAACCUUCCUAUAAGUGGGGAAUAGCCCAGAGAAAUUUGGAUUAAUACCCCGUAACAUAAUGAUGUGGCAUCACAUUAUUAUUAUAGCUUCGGCGCUUAUUGAUGGGUGUGCGGCUGAUUAGAUAGUUGGCGGGGUAACGGCCCACCAAGUCUACGAUCAGUAGCUGAUGCGAGAGCAUGAUCAGCCACACGGGCACUGAAACACGGGCCCGACUCCUACGGGAGGCAGCAGUAAGGAAUAUUGGUCAAUGGACGCAAGUCUGAACCAGCCAUGCCGCGUGAAGGAUUAAGGUCCUCUGGAUUGUAAACUUCUUUUAUCUGGGACGAAAAAGGGCUUUUCUAAGUCAACUGACGGUACCAGAUGAAUAAGCACCGGCUAACUCCGUGCCAGCCGCCGCAGUAAAAC